AAAGAGUGUUUUGAACAGAAAAGGGCUUCUAACUCUUUCCUAAGUAGUUAAAUCCUACUUACUCUUUA
rnacentral:tRNA from 1 species